rnacentral:rRNA from 1 species
UACGUAGGGUGCAAGCGUUGUCCGGAAUUAUUGGGCGUAAAGGGCUCGUAGGCGGUCUGUCGCGUCGGGAGUGAAAACCCAGGGCUUAACUCUGGGCUUGCUUUCGAUACGGGCAGACUAGAGGCAUGCAGGGGAGAACGGAAUUCCUGGUGUAGCGGUGAAAUGCGCAGAUAUCAGGAGGAACACCGGUGGCGAAGGCGGUUCUCUGGGCAUGUCCUGACGCUGAGGAGCGAAAGUGUGGGGAGCGAACAGG